rnacentral:rRNA from 1 species
AUUGAACGCUGGCGGCAGGCCUAACACAUGCAAGUCGAACGGUAACAGGAAGCAGCUUGCUGCUUCGCUGACGAGUGGCGGACGGGUGAGUAAUGUCUGGGAAGCUGCCUGAUGGAGGGGGAUAACUACUGGAAACGGUAGCUAAUACCGCAUAAUGUCGCAAGACCAAAGAGGGGGACCUUCGGGCCUCUUGCCAUCGGAUGUGCCCAGAUGGGAUUAGCUUGUUGGUGGGGUAACGGCUCACCAAGGCGACGAUCCCUAGCUGGUCUGAGAGGAUGACCAGCCACACUGGAACUGAGACACGGCCCAGACUCCUACGGGAGGCAGCAGUGGGGAAUAUUGCACAAUGGGCGCAAGCCUGAUGCAGCCAUGCCGCGUGUAUGAAGAAGGCCUUCGGGUUGUAAAGUACUUUCAGCGGGGAGGAAGGGAGUAAAGUUAAUACCUUGGCUCAUUGACGUUACCCGCAGAAGAAGCACCGGCUAACUCCGUG